GAAACAUGAUGAGCAAAAUAAAGCUGCUAACUUUUUUUUUAAAUGGUUUAAUUCCAUUUAUGUUUCU
rnacentral:tRNA from 1 species